AGUGAACGCUGGCGGUAGGCCUAACACAUGCAAGUCGAACGGCAGCACAGUAAGAGCUUGCUCUUACGGGUGGCGAGUGGCGGACGGGUGAGGAAUACAUCGGAAUCUACUUUUUCGUGGGGGAUAACGUAGGGAAACUUACGCUAAUACCGCAUACGACCUACGGGUGAAAGCAGGGGAUCUUCGGACCUUGCGCGAUUGAAUGAGCCGAUGUCGGAUUAGCUAGUUGGCGGGGUAAAGGCCCACCAAGGCGACGAUCCGUAGCUGGUCUGAGAGGAUGGUCAGCCACACUGGAACUUGGCCACGGUCCAUACUCCUACGGGAGGCAGCAGUGGGGUAUAUUGGACAAUGGUCGCAAGCCUGAUCCAGCCAUACCGCGUGGGUGAAGAAGGCCUUCGGGUUGUAAAGCCCCUUUGUUGGGAAAGAAAAGCAGCAGGUUAAUACCCCGCUGUUCUGACGGUACCCAAAGAAUAAGCACCGGCUAACUUCGUG
rnacentral:rRNA from 1 species